rnacentral:tRNA from 1 species
GGGAGUAUAUCUGAGUGGUAGAGGGCAUGCUUAGCGUGCACGAGGUCUUGGGUUCAAUCCCUAGUACCUCUA